ACACUCAUUCCAUCCUGCUGCCCUGUGAGAAAGGUGCCUGCUUCUCCUUUGCCGUCUGCUGUGAUUGUAAGUUUCCUGAGGCCGCCCCAGCCAUGCAGAACUAAUUUCUGUUGCCCAGGCUGGAGUGCAGGGGCACUGUGUCAGCUCACUGCAACCUCUGUCUCCUGGGUUCAAGCAAUUCUCCUGCCUCAGCCUCCCGAAUAGCUGGGAUUACAGAUGUGCGCCACCACGCCAGGCUAAUUUUUGUGCUUUUGGUAGAAACGGGGUUUCACCAUGUUGCUCAGGCUGGUGUCGAACUCCUGACCUCAUGUGAUCUGCCCACCUCGGCCUCCCAAAGUGCUGGGAUUACAGAAGUGGACCACCAUGCCCGGCCUUUUUUUUUUUUUUGAGACAGGGUCACUUUAUCACCUUGAAUUCGAAUUCCUGGGCUCACGUGCUUCUUCCACCUCAGCAUCCCGAGUAGCUGGGACCACAGAUGUGCACCACUACACCCGGCUAAAUUUUGUAUCUUUUGUGGAGAAGGGGUUUUACCAUGUUGCCCAGGCUGAUCUGGAACUCCUGGCCUCAAGUCAUCUGCCCACCUCGGCCUCCCAAAGUACUGGAAUUACAGGCGUGAGCCACCAUACCUGGCCAAGACUCGCUUUUAACUGCAUAUGCUUUUGCACUUUUGUACCUUUAAAUUUUUAUUUUUAGUUUUAUUGAUUGAUUGAUUGAUUGAUUGAGACAACCGGCCACCUUGGCAGUCAACCCCCAGCCGUAGUCAAGCCUCCGGAUGAUUGCAUCCCUGGAUGACGUCCUGAUUGCACUCUCAUAAGAAACCCUGAGCCAGAACUACCCAGGGAGAAGCCCACCAACCCUGUGGGGCUGGUCCCUACAACUGGGAAGGUCUGCAGCUUCACUCCUGAAGUCAGUGAGACCACGAACCCAUCGGGAGGAAUGAAAAACUCCAGACACGCCACCUUUAAGAGCUGUAAAAUUCACUGCAAGGGACCACGGCUUCACUCCUGAAGUCAGCAAGACCACGAACCCAUCAGAAGGAAGAAACUCCGGACACAUCCGAACAUCUGAAGGAACAAACUCCAGACACACCAUCUUUAAGAACUAUAACACUCACUGCGAAGGUCCACAGCUUCAUUCUUGAAGUCAGUGAGACCAAGAACCCACCGGAAGGAACCAAUUCCGGACACAAUAGUUUCUUCCUCCCUUGUGUGCCCCCACAAGACUGGGCCUUGUCUGCCUCCAGACACUCCGUACUCUCUCUCACUGCUUAGGUGGCUCUUCCCAUCCCUCUUCCAUCCUCCAAACACCCCAUCCCUUCCCAUGAUGCUGCAUUUUCCAGUGAGCAGACUAAGCUCAGCACAUCAGCAAAACCCUCCGUUUUUCUUUGAAACUUGGAACUUCAUGGAAGUUGCUCACCUUCUGCCUAACCACAGGGAAAUGACCCCAAGAAGUCUUCCCAGUCCCCAUGUGGGUGAGGGCCUUGCCUCCUGCUCCAGGUCCACCCACAUCUUUCCUAUUUGGCCAUGUCCAUGUGUUAUUAUUACUGUAGGUUUUGUUGUUGGCUUCUUGGACAGACUAUAAACCACAGGAGGACAGGCUUCAACCUUAUGUAUUCUCUGCUAUGGCCCCAAGGCCUGGCACACAGCAAAUGCUCUGUAUAGAGUCAUGAAUGAGUGAACAAACAAAUAAAUGAACAAACUCAGGAUACCGGAACAAUCCCUUAAAGUGCCUGCAGGGCCAGGUUUGGCAGAAGAGCCUUCCUCUUUAUGAACACAGAUGGCAGAAGUAGGACAAGUCAAAGUGAAUGUCAAAUUUUGGUUCUAAAUCAGGAAGAACCUUCUAAUAACAUAGAUUGCAUUGUGAAGUAGUGAGCUGUUGUCACCAAAGGGGUUAACAAGAAGGCUAGUGGGCUCUCUAUGAGGAACAGCCUGCAGGAAGAAUUCCAGACUGGACAGAGGUUGUGAAUUCCCAAGGUCCCGCGCCAGCUGGGCUGUUGAGGAAGCCAUGAAUGUAUCUUUAUGGCGAGGGAGGAUUGAGGAGAUAGAUUUUUUUUCCACUUGAGGAACUUGCUUUUUUUGUUUGUUUUUGCUUUUUUCAGUUUUUUGAGACAGAGUCUCACUCUGUCGCCCAGACUGCAGUGCAGUGGCCCGAUCUCAGCUCACUGCAACCUCCACCUACCAGGU